rnacentral:lncRNA from 1 species
UUGACCAUCCGCAAAAAUAUUGAAACACAAGGCAUCUCCCAAGCAAAAUGCUUGGAAAAAACCGAAUUAAUUUAGACGUGUGAAAUCAUAACUAUCCAAAAUUUUGGAUAGUUUCCCAAUGGGAAAAGAAGCCAUUAGGAUGUUUUAUUUCACCAAAUGAGUGCACGGAUCACUGAGUGACGAUUCAUUUACACAGGACACAUAGAGCUGCAGCGCACAACAAACUAUUCUAGCUCGAAGUUUUGUGUAGGAGGAUACAUUUGACAUGGUAGUAGCCUCACACACCAAAUGGC